GAUGAACGCUGGCGGCGUGCCUAACACAUGCAAGUCGAGCGAUCUUCUUCGGAAGAGAGCGGCGGACGGGUGAGUAACGCGUGGGUAACCUGCCUCAUACACAUGGAUAACAUACCGAAAGGUAUGCUAAUACAAGAUGAUAUAAGAGAAUCGCAUGGAUUUCUUAUCAAAGCUCCGGCGGUAUGAGAUGGACCCGCGUCUGAUUAGCUAGUUGGUAAGGUAAUGGCUUACCAAGGCGACGAUCAGUAGCCGACCUGAGAGGGUGAUCGGCCACAUUGGAACUGAGACACGGUCCAAACUCCUACGGGAGGCAGCAGUGGGGAAUAUUGCACAAUGGGCGAAAGCCUGAUGCAGCAACGCCGCGUGAGCGAUGAAGGCCUUCGGUCGUAAAGCUCUGUCCUCAGGAAGAUAAUGACGGUACUUGAGGAGGAAGACCCGGCUAACUACGUG
rnacentral:rRNA from 1 species